CGGCCGGAGGACAAAGUCUUUUCCACCGUACCGCUGCGCCUCCGUUAUGCAUUUGGUGUGUUUGACAAACUCUUGUCCCCUAUACAUGGAAUCAUACAUCAUCUAGCACACAGAUUAUGCAAGAUAAAUUCACCCAACUGGAACGUACCGAAAAUCUUGGAAACAAUCCAUGCAACUGACUGAAAUGGAAUUUCUGCACUUGAAUUGAAAGUGUUUUCCGACUUUAGGCUUCUUUAUUGCCUCACCACAGUGAGUACACGUGAAAAAUACCAUUUUUAUGGAUAAGCACGUGCCGGAGAAUCAUGAAUGCAAGUAUUUUUUUCUCCAAUUUGCUCUGUCGGGAUUUGCUUCGACUGGCAACUGUUGACAGCAUAAAAGUAAACUAACCUACAAGUUAAAUAUACCGUUUUAAAAAUGAGCUAUAAUUGUUGGGUAAAAUAAACUCAGGUCGUUGUAAAUCAUAGGCCUAGUGGUAGAUUUACUCACUCGAAUUGAGGUUAAAUACUGCGUGGUAAUCCAAGAUGCCAAGCUUCAAGCACGAAGUGAGAGGGAAGGAGACCGAACUCCGAUCCCAAAAGUGGGAUCAAUUUUCCAGCGAUGAGUGAGCAGUUCGCUGCGAAGAAUAACCGAGAUGACAAGUCACGCAUGCGCAGUACGAUUAGCUGCGUCUUUGUAUCUCUCGCAUAAAGUGCGAGUGAGACAGUUUUGUUGUUGUGACAGCAAGUUCAUGAGGUUAUGGUGCGUAAUAAUUUCUUGGCAUAAUGAUAGAAUCACAAAUAUCGCUUUAUUAUUUGCAAAAAAGAAACGUGAAUACGCUGCGAAGUCAGAAAUCAUAGAUAUGGAGCAAGUACUUAAUGAAUUUAAUUACACGUAUUUGAGGAAAAAGCUAUGUGUAAGUAUUUUACCAGCACCAAGUUGGGGUUUUACACGAGGAGAUCGCACAUUUUUUGGUCUACAAAAGAUUGAAAAGGAUUGCUGUUUUACCAGAUAUGCACGUUGAAAUAUACAUAGACAAUAAAAUUUGGCCGCUCUGAGAAUGUAUUAUCCUUGUUAAUAUGGAUCAGUUUAUUGUUCUUCUAAACAACGUAGAUAAAAUGCCUUUGCCAGAUCAUUAGGAUAUUGAACAACCAUUUUUUACACUCAUGCUUUAAAUGUAAACAAUUUAUCAAUCAUGUUCAAUACGAAAAUUGUAAAUGGUAAAUAGGAGAAUCAGGAUAUAUACAAGUUUUACAUAAUAGAAAUUCUCAGCUACAGUGAUGAGAAUUAGGAGAUAAGGUUAGGAUGUAGAAUAUAAGGAUUCACAAAUUAGAUAUAUACAUAAAAACGAUAUUUCUUGCUUGUUGUUGGCAAUUUCAAUUUAUUGUACAAUCUGGUAAUAAACAUAAACAGAAGUAUAAUUUUGUUUUACCAUCACUCUAUGAUCACGUUACGUACCGAGGGAGCUUUAAACAACGUGUGAUUGUUAUUUUUGUCUUUAUAUUUGGUUUUGCACUGCGGUACACGACACGCUGACA
rnacentral:lncRNA from 1 species